rnacentral:snRNA from 1 species
GUGCUUGCUUUGGCAGCACAUAUACUAAAAUUGGAAUGAUACAGAGAAGAUUAGCAUGACUCCUGCGCAAGGAUGGUAUGCAAAUUCAUGAAGCAUUUCUUAUUCUU